rnacentral:rRNA from 1 species
AGAGUUUGAUCAUGGCUCAGGACGAACGCUGGCGGCGUGCCUAAUGCAUGCAAGUCGAGCGGGCUACAAUCUUCGGAUUGUAGUUUAGCGGCGAACGGGUGAGUAGCACGUAGGUAAUCUACCCUUCAGAGGAGGACAACCUCAGGAAACUGAGGCUAAACCUCCAUACGUUCAUUAUCAGGCAUGAUAAUGAAGAAAGAGUUACCGUAAAAGGUAGCUGCUGAAGGAUGAGCCUGCGGCCCAUCAGGUAGUUGGUGAGGUAACGGCUCACCAAGCCGAAGACGGGUAACCGGUCUGAGAGGAUGUCCGGUCACACUGGGACUGAGACACGGCCCAGACUCCUACGGGAGGCAGCAGCAGGGAAUCUUGGGCAAUGGGCGAAAGCCUGACCCAGCGACGCCGCGUGGAGGAAGAAGUCCUUCGGGGCGUAAACUCCUGGACUGGGGGACGAGGAAGGACGGUACCCCAGUAGAAAGGGACGGCUAACUACGUGCCAGCAGCCGCGGUAAAACGUAGGUCCCGAGCGUUGUUCGGAUUCACUGGGUGUAAAGGGCGCGUAGGUGGUUGUCUGUGUCUCAUGUGAAAACUCAGGGCUCAACUCUGAGAUGGCGUGGGAAACUAGGCAGCUAGAGGACGGUAGAGGGGAGUGGAAUUCCCGGUGUAGCGGUAAAAUGCGUAGAUAUCGGGAGGAACACCGGUGGCGAAGGCGGCUCUCUGGGCCGAUCCUGACGCUGAGGCGCGAAAGCUAGGGGAGCGAACCGGAUUAGAUACCCGGGUAGUCCUAGCCGUAAACGAUGGGUGCUAGGUGUUGGGGGGUAAAGACCCUUCAGUGCCGAAGCAAACGCGAUAAGCAUCCCACCUGGGGAGUACGGCCGCAAGGGUUGAAACUUAAAUGAAUUGACGG